UUAGUUGCAUCUCUGAUCGGCUGUUGGCCGAGUUGAAUAGCAUUAUUUCUUUCCUUUAUGCAUGUAGGAUUGAUUUAAUAGAAUGGUUUUGAUUGAAACUUAGUUCUGAGAUACUUUGUACUAUGGCUCAUGCGAACUAAAUUGAUUCGCCUUGGAACUCUGAACAUUAUACAAUGCAUCUUGAAGGGUUUAACCUCGCUGGGUGAAGUAUAAGUUGAUUCCCCUCUAUUGCCUAAAUUGGAUUUGGGACAAUGAAUACCUUGAGCAUCACACUCUCAAAACAGUAUUAAAGAAAGCUCAUCUGAAUUGAUCUACUUACAAGAUCCAAUAGUGAUGUCCCGAGUGAUGUUGGCAGAAGCAAAGCUCCAACUUGAGCUUGCGUAGACUUGAAUGGAAAUCGAAUUUGAGUACGUGAGGAAAAUUUCUCGGUGAGGAAAUGGUUAUGCUUUGCUUUAUGAUUGGUGUAAAGGAAAACAGUAAAGCUGUAAAGACAACAUUAAUGGAAUUUGUCUGAGCUUGACAUGGAGCAGUAUCCAUUAAUGUGAAUUUGGGAUUAUCGCCUAGUGACAGAAUGAAAUAUGAUACUAAGACAUUGGGACUCGAUGCUAAUUAGUAAAUAAGGAAUCCAUCUUCAAUGGAUUGAUGGAAGAGACAAUCAAUUCCAAUUUGUUAGUGAAGGGUUACCAUCAGGGCUAACUAGUUCAUUAUCAAGCUAGUUAUGAUUGAGGAAUAUAAAGACUACAAGCUAUAUGAGAGGGUUAUGACUAUUGGAUGAUACAAAUCAAUCACUGGUAUGUGAUUAUCUCGUCAAGCACAAGUUGCACAUCAGAAGUAACCUAGGAAACCUAGUAAGGAAUGGUUACGCUCCAGUUAUAGAACCAAGACAGAACAAGUUGGGUUUUAGCUUCAACCUAUUUGAGAAAAUAGGAAUGGAUUUUAUUUUGAAAUAGAAUUGCACCGAAAAUGCAAUAUCUUAAAGAGUUUUGACUUUUGAGAAUCGAUGGAUGAUUUGGAACUCGAGAUAAUUAUAUUUAUUGAACCCUAGUGCAAAUGGUACCCUUGGAAUUCUUUUUACCAAAUGAAGAACUAAGCCCCUUCAUAUGAGCAUGAUGAGAAAGGUUAGAUUUUAUCCUCGAAUCAUUGGAAAAGUUGAAAUAGAUUUUCAUCCAUUACAAUCAUGGAAUCUAUGAAUGAAAGAAGAGCUUUUAUUUGUGAGAAAGUGAUAUGAACUCAUGAACAACGAUGGAAUGGAUUGUCAUCCCUUUUAGAUGAUAUGGAAUGAGGAUUCAGUUCUAGUUUCGCGGACGAAACUUUUAUUUAGGAGGGGUGAAUGUAAUAUACUGAAUUUUAGACCUAUUGGCAAGUUCGAGGGUUGAAUUGGCUUUUGGAACUGGUCCACGAUUUUUGACAGACCUUUGAAAGGUUUUGACAAGUUAAUGAAGUGAGAAGGUAACUGGAAAUGGACAAGUGCAUCGCAAAUUGAUUGCAAUGCUCUGAAUUUGAUAAAUUGCGAAGUUUGAAUAUGGAAAAUGGUAAAUGGGACUACCCUACAUAUUCUAAAGGGCUGGGACAAGUAUUUGGAGAAGUUAGAUAAGUGGUGGAAUGGCUAAAAGCAAGAAAGCGCAUUGCUGUGGCUUUCUCUCGAAUUUUUGCAUUGUGUACCGGUACAACAUCAAUGCUGUACCGGUACAGCAAGCAGCAGAGUUUGCAGCUGCGUGGCAACAGGGCUAUUUUGGUCUUUUCACACCUUUUACUCAGCCUUAUCCUCCCAGCUCGACCUCUGGACCCCUUCAGAUGGUGCUAGAGCUUAGAGAAAGGCAUCUUCACCUCCUUCACUAUCUCUCUCUAGGAUUUUUCUCUCUCUACAAAGAUGUCGUCGUUUUGCGCCGGUUUCGCGUCCCGCUCGACGCUCGCUGUUUAUGUGGACUUGGGGCCAGCUUUUAAAAGUUCAUCGUUUAGCGUCGGAUUUUGACGCAUUUUGGUGUCGUUGCUUCCAUCUGCGUGUAACAGGGGUUCCAGCAGCUAGAGGUGAGAUUUUUAGCUGUGAAUUGACCCCCUUAAAUCAGGGAUAAUCUACUUUGAAGCUUGCUUGAGGUUUCAGAACCUUAUUGAAUCAAAUUGGUGAUCUUGGGAACUGGUUUGGAAGGUGUUCUAACCAGGCGGGAAUUCAGCCGACCUUUGGGUCAUCUUUGGUUGGCUUUGGGAAGCCUUUAGAGACUUAAUUUGAGCAGAGUUGAGGCCUAUUGGAGUUAAUUGUGGGAGAUAGUAAUAGAGCCUUCCACAGCGGGAAAGGCUAGGGUUCCUGGCGAGGGGUCAGCGGC